CUUGGUAGACAGAAUAUGGAAGGAGAUUAACACUAGCCCCUAAAUCAAGUAACGCCUUAUCCACAAAAGUUUCUCCUAUGACACAUGAAAUUGUAGGACAACCGGGGUCCUUGUAUUUCACGGGAAUUUGGUUUGAGAGAAUCGAACUAAUGUGAGAUGUAAGGAAAGCUUUCUUAGGGACAUGGUUGGUUCUCUUAUGGGUACAUAACUCCUUAAGACACUUAGCAUAUGAAGGAAUUUGUUGAAUAGCAUCUAAAAGGGGUAUGUUGACCUUGACUUGCUUAAAAACUUCCAAAAUCUUCUCCAUUUGAGCCGAUUGCUUAGGUGAAAUAAGUCUUUGUGGGUAAGGGACUCUUGGUUUAUAGACUACUUCACUUUGCAAUUCGGGUUCCGGGUUUGGGUCACUCGACUCCUCACGGGCUUUUGAACACUCGGGUUUGUCAUGAUUAAUGG
rnacentral:lncRNA from 1 species